UACGGGGGGGGCAAGCGUUGUUCGGAAUUACUGGGCGUAAAGGGCUCGUAGGCGGCCAACUAAGUCAAACGUGAAAUCCCUCGGCUUAACCGGGGAACUGCGCUUGAUACUGGAUGGCUUGAGAUUGGGAGAGGGAUGCGGAAUUCCAGGUGUAGCGGUGAAAUGCGUAGAUAUCAGGAGGAACACCAACGGCGAAGGCAGCUCGCUGGGACGGUACUGACGCUAAGGCGCGAAAGCGUGGGGAGCGAACAGG
rnacentral:rRNA from 1 species